CAAAUGAACUGUUAGGUGAGACUCCUACGUGAACACACGCUAUCGCCCAGAAACAUCUAGAGAUGCCAACGGGUUAAAUAGGUGUCGUCGACUUAAGGCGAGAUCCAGGUAGCUAGCAUGUGCUUACGUCACGUAGUGUUAAAACUGAACGAUUAGUUUAAACA
rfam:Lactobacillus pasteurii DSM 23907 = CRBIP 24.76, type strain:CRBIP 24.76, WGS project CAKD01000000 data, contig: 20